rnacentral:lncRNA from 1 species
AGGAAGAAGAGGAGGAAGAACUGUUAACCAGUGAAUCAUGGACUUGCCGGGAGUUUCCUCUAUAAAUUUCUGGGAAAGACAUUGUUUUUUUUAUUUUCUUCUUUUUUUCUCCCUUAAUUUUGAUUGGUUAUGGUCUGAGUCUUCUUCCUUUGGUUUUUUAAAAACAAGCAGAGAUCAAGCUCUCUUACCGUUGGAGAGCAACUCUGCGCCGUCUUUAUACCUCUCUUUGCCAUUUUUGAUUUCCUGUUCUCCACCGUGGGACAAUGCUUCGGUUGCCGCAGCCGCCGUUCGCCUCAGAUAUGUCAGCAGGCGAACCUGUCUCUUCUUGCCCUUGAUUCUCCAUGUGGGGGUUUCUUCUUUUUUAUUAAUGGGUUUUUCAAGUUUCUCUGUUUGGGACCUCAAAAGUUUUAAGGGACCCAAAGUUUUAACCUUUUGGUUUUGAAUUUGUUUGCAGUUUCAGUCAACGAGGUUGAAGCAUUGUAUGAGUUAUUCAAGAAACUGAGCUGUUCCAUCAUUGAUGACGGAUUGAUUCACAAGGUCUGUUCUUUUCAAAGUUCAAGUAUUUUUCUUAAGUUGGUCAGUCUUCUCGAUGGUUAUGAGGAUAUUGAUAUUUCUUUUGUUUGUAGGAAGAGCUAAUACAAUUGCUCUCGCAGGAAUUUGUAUAUAUCCCCUUAGAGUGCCACCUCAGCAUAGCUUAUCCCAAAUUUUGACACCGGUCCUCAUAGAAAAUGUUUUCUCGGUUUCAUGAUGGCUAUUGGGCGAAUUUGUUCAUUUUGAUUAUGUAAUGGGUUCUUCUACAGUGACAUAGUAGGACCAUUCGUUAUUAGGGUUUACCUUCAUCUUCCGUAUUCAGUAGACUGGAGAGUGAAACCAGCUUGAUGAUUACGAUAUCACCUCGCCCUUUAACGCCUUAGAUCAUCUCCUUUAGUCCACAUUAAUCUAAGCAUUUAUGUAUUUUCACCAUUCCUCCCACUAUCUGACAUCAAAACGACACUACCAUCCUCUAUGGUAACGAACUUGAGCAAUAGUGGAGUCCAAAACCCACAAAACACAAGCCCAUAAUGGAGUGUAAAGCCCAGAAAAGUGAAAUAAAGCCCAAAAAAACGACACUCAUAAACAAAAACUACAAAUGUCGGUGGGACCACGCAAACACAAAAGACGCAAAGACAAAACAGCUGAACUGAAAACGAAAGGACCAUCAAAGACGAAACACCUUAGCCUAGUUAAUUGGAUCUGCGUAAUUCCAUUUGGAUGACGUGACGCAAAAAUCGAAAGAGCUUUCCUUUUUUUGGUUCUAUAACCUCAAAUUCAAAAGGAUUUCGAGACUUUUGAUGUGAUCUCAACACCGUAUUCUAAGAACAAAGAAGGAAGAAGAGGAGGAAGAACUGUUAACCAGUGAAUCAUGGACUUGCCGGGAGUUUCCUCUAUAAAUUUCUGGGAAAGACAUUGUUUUUUUUAUUUUCUUCUUUUUUUCUCCCUUAAUUUUGAUUGGUUAUGGUCUGAGUCUUCUUCCUUUGGUUUUUUAAAAACAAGCAGAGAUCAAGCUCUCUUACCGUUGGAGAGCAACUCUGCGCCGUCUUUAUACCUCUCUUUGCCAUUUUUGAUUUCCUGUUCUCCACCGUGGGACAAUGCUUCGGUUGCCGCAGCCGCCGUUCGCCUCAGAUAUGUCAGCAGGCGAACCUGUCUCUUCUUGCCCUUGAUUCUCCAUGUGGGGGUUUCUUCUUUUUUAUUAAUGGGUUUUUCAAGUUUCUCUGUUUGGGACCUCAAAAGUUUUAAGGGACCCAAAGUUUUA